ensembl:lncRNA
UUUUUAUAUGGUGUCUUUCUUUGGAAACGCACAAACCAUCUCACCACAGACAUUACCUCAUUUGCUUCACAGCCUAAUGACUGCUUUAUGGCUGAGAAAUGGUGGAGGAAGCGACUGAGACUGAAGAGAUGAAGAAACUGAGGCACACAGGGAGACACAGACGUGGCCUUCCCAGCAGUACUCAGGUUUUCUCCUUCCUAACCUCCUGCCCUUUCCUUGUGUUUUAGGCAUUGGCUAAUGAAUUUAAAUGAAACAAUUGCUCGUGUCUGCCAAAAGCUGCAUAGAGGAACCUGGGCUGUGUAUUAUGGCUGAUAUGAUACUAGUCUUCCGAACGGAAGGUGGGGGUGGGAGGAGAUCCUGGCAUUUGCCAUCUGGUAAGCCUGUCUUUAAUCCUCAGUAAAGUAAUGGAAUGGAGAUGAGGAAAAAAAUGUGUAAGAAUCAAAAGCAUAAUGCCACCAUGAGCAAGCAGCUGUCUGGAUUUUUAAAGAGCAAAUUCCAUGAGACAAAUUUAAUUGCAUUUUUUAAUAGAAUUAAAAAAAGUCCACAACAUUAGUGGGUGAAGGAAAUGAAAUGGAUGUAUCCAAAAAUCUCACUUGAAAGAUGAAUUCAGCGGGGCUGGUUCUGAGCUGUCUUCUGUAUUGAAACCCGGCUGGAAGGCCACGUGAGCAGCGGUGGGAGGCCAUGGAGUGGCUGGGAGAUGGUGGCCAGCGGCGUGCUUCUGGCAGGCUCUGAGAUGGGCCGGCGCCUACAGAGCAUCAUUAUUAAUGACUUGCAGGAGGUGAUGAGCAGAACAUUAAUUAAAUGUGCACAUGUGGCCAAGUGGGAAAUUGGCGGCGAAAACACCAGAGAGGCAGAUGAGGAAACUGAGUCCCAGAGGAGUGGAGUACCUUGGUGAAGUUCACCCAGCACCUCCUGGAGCUGAGUAUGUUUCUAGAACUGUCUAUUUAAAAAACCACUCUCUUUUCAUUGGAGGUUUGGAGGAGAACUUCAUUUAUGGCACACAGUUAUAUUAAAAUAAACAGUUUAGUUCCACACUAAGGGUUUGAUAAUUUCAAUAAAUCCUUUGUUGUCUUUAUAAAGUCUAGAGUUAAACAAACAACACAGAGCACAAUAUCCAGGUUUUGUCAAGUUUCUGGUGAACAUAAUGGGCAAAUCUACAAGCUUUCUUUAACAAGGUUUAUUUCCAUCUGAGAGAGCUGGAGAGCUGUGUGUGAUACUAACGAUACAGAAGCUUAAGGAAACGAGUGUCUAUCACAAGCUUAAAAAUGUAUAGUAUAGGUUGGGUGUGGUGGCUCACGCCUAUAAUUCCAGCACUUUGGGAGGCCCAGGCAGGUGGAUCACGAAGUCGGGGGUUCAAGACCAGCCUGGACAGCAUGGUGAAACCCCAUCUUUACUAAAAAUACAAAAAUUAGCCAGGCGUGGUGACAGAUGCCUGUAAUCCCAGCUACUCGGGAGGCUGAAGCAGGAUAAUUGCUUGAACCUGGUGGACAGAGGUUGCAGUGAGCAGAGAUUGUGCCACUGCACUCCAGCCUGGGUGACAGAGUGAGACUCUGUCUCAAAAAAAAAAUAUGUGUAGUAUCAAAAUGGCAGUACCCAGGGUAUAAUAAGUGUCCAGUAAAUACAUGUAUAUAUUACACACACACACACACACACAUAUAUAUAUAUAUAUAGAGAGAGAGGGAGUGUGUGUCUCACUCUGUCACCCACAGUGGAGAACAGUAGUGCGAUCUAGGGUCACUGCAGCCUCAACCUCCCAGGUUCAAGCGAUUCUCCCACCUCAACCUCCCAAGUAGCAGAGACUACAGGCACAUGCCACCAUGCUUGGCUAAUUUUUGUAUUUCUAGUAGAGAUGAGGUUUUGCCAUGUUGACCAGGCUGGUCUCGAACUCCUGACCUCAAGCGAUC